CACGCAUGACACACUGCAUAUCAAUAAGCGGAGGAAAAGAAACUAACAAGGAUUCCCUAGUAACGGCGAGUGAAGCGGGAAGAGCUCAAAUUUGAAAUCUUCAAGGUUUUACCUUGACGAAUUGUAGUUUAAAGAAGUGUUUUCUGUUGGAGUUUUGGUAAAAGUUCUUUGGAAUAGGACAUCAUAGAGGGUGAGAAUCCCGUAUUUGACCAGUUACUUUCCAGCUGUGUGAUACACUUUCAAAGAGUCGGAUUGUUUGGGAAUGCAGUCCAAAAUGGGUGGUAAAUUUCAUCUAAAGCUAAAUAUUGGCGAGAGACCGAUAGCGAACAAGUACCGUGAGGGAAAGAUGAAAAGAACUUUGAAAAGAGAGUUAAACAGUACGUGAAAUUGUCAAAAGGGAAGCGUUUGACACCAGUGUUGUUUUCUCGAAAAUCAAUUAAAAAUGAUGGGAUUUUGUGUUGUAUUGACUUUAUCAGCUUUCUGCACUUUUUUCUUAUCUUUUUUAAUGCACUUUUCGUUUAACAAGUCAACAUCAAUUUCUUUUGUUGUAGAAGAGUCAUUGGAAGGUGGCUUUUUCUUCGGAAAAAGUGUUUAUAGCCUUUGGCUUCUGCAAUCGGAGAGAUUGAGGUCUGCAGCGUAGAUCCUUCGGGGUUAGAUACAUUUGUGCUAAGCUAUAGUUCUUUAUAGACAACUUGUUGACUAUAAUCAAUCCUGUAACUUACUCGCUUAUGCUAUUUUACCUACGCUUAGGAUGUUGACUGAUAUGUAGUCGUA
rnacentral:rRNA from 1 species